CUCGGAGAGGGUCCCUGAGGUAAGAUGGGCUGAGCGUCGCCGCCUUCUGCAAGGACACCAGCCUUGAGAGAAGAGAGGAGAUAAGGUGCAAACGAAGAAAGGCAGGGACGCCGCGGUUUCAGUCGAAGCGUGGGCUCCUUAAGGACAGGGGCUGUGUCCGACUCGGCUCUGAAUCCCCAGCGCCUACACAAGCUCUGACACAGCGUAUACUCAGUAAACAUGGAGUGAAUCAGUUCAUUCAAUGAAUGAACGAAUGAAUGAAACGCCAGAGCCCGCCACAGGGGUCCGCUGCCGCUCCACGCCCGGGCCUCUCACCGGCCAAUCAACACUGUGACUCGUACGCCCUGCCCCCUGAUGCCACGCCCAUCACUCGCCCCUCUGGAUUCCCUCCGGCUGCGUGGAAAUCCCGGAGCACUGGAUUUCCCAGAGGCGCCUCCGGUAGCAGUGCGCAUGCUCCAGCGCCGGUAGCUGAGGCAUCAAUUUCCCGCAGCGCCUAGGGGACGGAUUGGAAAGCGAUUGGCUUAGGGGACGGAAGCCAAGCUCCACCUGCCUGACACCCGGCUCUUCACGCAGAACCGAAGAUUCAUUUUGGACAGCCCUUCCCCAGUACCACUCCCACCCCGACGUUGGUCCCAAUCGGAACCUAUCCUACACAAGGCUGAAAAAAAGAGGGGAGCGACCGGAAGUGACGCACGAGCGCGAGCGGAAAAACAGGGGCCCAGCGCCUGUUGCCGUGGAAACCGAGCCCUCGGCUUGCGUCCCGGGUGCGUCACAGCUCCGGCUGACCACGCCCCGCGCGCGGCCCCGAGGCCCUGAGGCCCAGGGCGGGGACCAAAAGCCGCGCGCUUGUGACGAUGUCGCUGCGGGGCACGCUAAGGGGCGGAGAGGAAAUUUAGGGCCUGCCUUUUGUACAUUCGGUUAUUCAGCCCAGAAAUAUGUAUUCAACCCCAGGCGCGUGCCUGGCAUUGUGGAAGGCGACACCUACCAGGAUGAGACAACUCUACUCAGACCCAAGCACACCAAGCCAGGAAUGCACAAAGGACGGCUGAUGUUUGAGAUAAGAACUGUCUCAAGGACUUUCUAUAAUAACCACACAAGGAAUUCCUCAUGUACGUCACAAGUCUCAUGCGUUUCUCCACCUACGUUUUGCACAUGUGCACACAUUUAUUGAUUUAGAGGCAGGGAUCUUGCUGUGCUGCCCAGACCGGACUCAAAUUCCUGGGCUCAAUCGGUCCUCCUGCCUCAGCCUCUAGAGUAGCUGGGACUCCAGGCAUGCGCCACCCUGUUAUUUCUGUGACCAGGCUUAGCACUAGGCAUUCUUUCGGACGACAGCAAUUCAAAUAAGAUGCUCUCCAAAGAACACUUGCCUAGUAGCGGCAUCUCCAAAAAUAAAUUGAUGCCGCUCCGGCUUUGAGCCUCCAGAACCAAAGAAACCUGUUUCCAGACAGCUUAUGUGAACUUCUACUUUUGGCCAAUAAGAGCUCCCACUUACCCCUGCCCUAUUCAGGUGCACCUGUGGCUUGCCAUAGCCAUAUAGCCAGGUGCACCAUCCUUUUUGCCUGCUCCUGAAUAAAUUAAUUAUAUUAGGAGACAUCUUUCUCUGAUGUCUUUUUUAGGUUAGCAACUCUAAUAUGUUGGAAGAAUACAGGCCAGCUACUUUGUAGAAUGUUCCUCAAUUUGAGUUUGUAUGAUGCUUUCUCAUGAUUAGAUUCAGGUUAUGUAUGUUUUGCAAAAAUACCUCAGAAGUGAUGGCAUCCUUGGUGCGGCAUCCUUGGUGCAUUAUAUCAGGAGGCAAAUGAUGUGGGUUUGUCCCAUUGUUUGUAAUGGUAACAUUGGUUGCUUGGUUAAGGUGAAGGGUGCCAAGCUUCUCCACUGUAAAGUUCCUAUUUUUUUCUCUGUAAUUAAUAAGUAAUUUGUAUGAUACUUUGAGAUAACAAAGUAGACUGUUCAUCAAACUUUCAUCAAUGAAUUUAACAUCCAAAGACGCCUCAAGAAUGAUCAUCAAAAGCAGCCUACUAAUGACUGUCAUUUACCAUUUAAUACAUUUCAAACAGUGCACGUGCUCUGUGACAUAUUCUGGGAAGGAACAUGUUACCUGAUACAUAAUAGGUGAUCAA
rnacentral:lncRNA from 1 species